rnacentral:rRNA from 1 species
GACGAACGCUGGCGGCGUGCCUAAUACAUGCAAGUCGAGCGCAGGAAGCCGUCUGAACCCUUCGGGGGGACGACGGUGGAAUGAGCGGCGGACGGGUGAGUAACACGUAAAGAACCUGCCCAUAGGUCUGGGAUAACCACGAGAAAUCGGGGCUAAUACCGGAUGUGUCAUCGGACCGCAUGGUCCGCUGAUGAAAGGCGCUCCGGCGUCGCCCAUGGAUGGCUUUGCGGUGCAUUAGCUAGUUGGUGGGGUAACGGCCCACCAAGGCGACGAGGCAUAGUGGACCUGAGAGGGUGAUCGGCCACACGGGGACUGAGACACGGCCCAGACUCCUACGGGAGGCAGCAGUAGGGAAUCUUCCACAAUGGACGAAAGUCUGAUGGAGCAACGCCGCGUGAACGAUGAAGGCUUUCGGGUCGUAAAGUUCUGUUGUAAGGGAAGAACAAGUGCCGCAGGCAAUGGCGGCACCUUGACGGUACCUUGCGAGAAAGCCACGGCUAACUACGUGCCAGCCGCCGCCGUAACAC